UCCCGUGUGGCUCAGUUGGUAGAGCAUGGUGUUUGCAACGCCAGGGUUGUGUGUUCGAUUCCCACAGCGGGCC
rfam:Salmo salar isolate Sally breed double haploid chromosome ssa16, whole genome shotgun sequence.